UGGCGCCGUCCGGAAUCGAACGAUGAUGACGCCAUUAGAGUUCGGGCGUGUUCGUCAACAGUUACAGCGCGCACGAAUCUAUAAAAGCGGGCGCUCACGUGAACGCAGGUUCAGUCUUCAGUGAUCGGUCGCCAGCGUAAGACGUGUCGUAUCGUAUGACAAAUACUCAUUAUAUUACUUUUAUUAGAUUUGAUUGUGUGUGGGUAAAUAUAAGGGCGGUAAUUAUUGUGAGCUGAAUAUUAUAAUAAAGAGACGUGUAUUCUAAAUAGUGCUUUGUUUUCAGUUAAAUCCUAUAUGUAACUUAAUCUGUAUUGGGCCGGCUUUCCCUUCGAGGAUUAGAAGGUCAGACAGGCAUCGCUUCUGUAAAAAACCGGACCUGUCAAAUCUUCAAGUAAAUUCUGCAAAUACUUCAACCGCGCAGUGUCACCUUGGGAUAAGCCACACAAAGACAAUUUUCCCGGUCAAUAAAGCUAUUUGAAGGACAAAACUAUAACGAGGAAUAUAAACGUCAACGAUAAUGGGUUUACGAUAAUUCGACAUUGAACAGAUAAUCGCUGUUUUACGAUGUUCUUCCGAAACAACAACAUAAACAAAUCCGGAAAAAGAAAAUCCUUUUAGGCAAAAAAAAUGUAAGAAACUUGAUCUGACCUGAUUAAUUAACGAGUCAUCGAUUCAAUUUAUAAAACAAACUGAAGAAAUAAAGUAAACAUAAAAUAGCCGGUCAAAUACGAGGUCAAGUCGUACACCGAGGGUUCGCAGAGCUGUGAAUUAGCUGUUGAAAAAGUACUGGCUUCAUACAUCGACAUAAGUAGAAAUAGAAAUAGAAAAGUGGUGUUAUAAAAAUACAGGAGUACUUAGUAUUGUAGUAUCAAAAUGGACCUGGUAAAGGCACUGCAA